GACGAACGCUGGCGGCGCGCUUAACACAUGCAAGUCGAGCGAAGCGGCGGACGGGUGAGUAACACGUGAGUAACCUGCCUUAGACAUUGGGAUAGCCUCGGGAAACCGGGAUUAAUACCAAAUGGUCUAAGAUGGACUCGCGUCCCAUUAGCUAGUUGGUGAGGUAACCGCCCACCAAGGCGCUGAUGGGUAGCCGGCCUGAGAGGGUGAACGGCCACAUUGGAGCUGAGCAACGGUCCGAACUCUACGGGAGGCAGCAAAGGGGAAUCUUGCAAAAUGGAGGGAACUCUGAUGCAGCGACGCUGCGUGAACGAAGAAGGCUGUCGAGUCGUAAAGUUCUUUUAUAUGGGAAGCGGUACCAUAAGAAAAAGCCCCGGCUAACUACGUGCCAGCAGCCGCGGUAAUUC
rnacentral:rRNA from 1 species